rnacentral:rRNA from 1 species
CCCUAGUAACUGCGAGUGAAGCGGGAAAAGCUCAANUUUAAAAUCUGGCGGUCUCUGGCCGUCCGAGUUGUAAUCUAGAGAAGUGUUAUCCGCGCUGGACCGUGUACAAGUCUCCUGGAAUGGAGCGUCAUAGAGGGUGAGAAUCCCGUCUUUGACACGGACUGCCAGGGCUUUGUGAUGCGCUCUCAAAGAGUCGAGUUGUUUGGGAAUGCAGCUCCAAAUGGGUGGUAAAUUCCAUCUAAAGCUAAAUAUUGGCGAGAGACCGAUAGCGAACAAGUACCGUGAGGGAAAGAUGAAAAGAACUUUGGAAAGAGAGUUAAACAGUACGUGAAAUUGCUGAAAGGGAAACGCUUGAAGUCAGUCGCGUUGACCGGGAAUCAACCUUGCUUUUGCUGGGCGUACUUUCCGGUCGACGGGUCAGCAUCAAUUUUGACCGUUGGAUAAAGUCUAGAGGAAUGUGGCAUCUUCGGGUGUGUUAUAGCCUCUGGUCGCAUACAACGGUUGGGAUUGAGGAACUCAGCACGCCGCAAGGCCGGGUACUCGUACCACGUUCGUGCUUAGGAUGCUGGCAUAAUGGCUUUAAUCGACCCGUCUUGAAACACGGACCAAGGAGUCUAACAUGCCUGCGAGUGUUUGGGUGGAAAACCCGAGCGCGUAAUGAAAGUGAAAGUUGAGAUCCCUGUCGCGGGGAGCAUCGACGCCCGGACCAGACCUUUUGUGACGGUCCCGCGGUAGAGCAUGUAUGUUGGGACCC